rnacentral:rRNA from 1 species
CUUGGUCAUUUAGAGGAAGUAAAAGUCGUAACAAGGUUUCUGUAGGUGAACCUGCAGAAGGAUCAUUGAAAAAUCAAUGGGGAAAAAGGCAGCCCGCAAGGGUAGCCUUUUUCCUUUAUCCACACACCUUUACACACCUGUGCACGCACAAAAAACCAUUUCACACGCUUAGAAAAUAGAGAAUGUCAUAAAAAUCCUUCCUAGGAAGGUGAAAGUUAAAUACAACUUUCGGCAACGGAUCUCUAGGUUCUCCUAUCGAUGAAGAACGCAGCGAAUUGCGAUAAGUAAUUGUGAAUUGCAGACAUCAGUGAAUCAUCGAAUCUUUGAACGCAUCUUGCGCCCUUUGGUAUUCCUUAGGGCAUGCCUGUUUGAGUGUCACGAGCAACCUUUGAACCUCGGAUUUUUUCAUGAAAGUCUGUUUGGGUUCAGUCUUGAGCGCUUGCCUGUUUUUUUCAGGCUCGCUCUAAAUGCAUUAGCUGGCAUUUCGCUCCUGUCAUCCGGACCUGGUUUUAAAAAGGCCUGGUUCGGAUGGUUGGUUCGGCGUGAUAAUUUACAUCUGCUGGAUCAUUUCAGAGACGGAAUUCUGCUUCCAACCAAGGGAGCCGGUCCUUUUUUGAGGAUCGCGUCUCUGCACUUUUUGACAUCUGGCCUCAGACAGGUAGGACUACCCGCUGAACUUAAGCAUAUCAAUAAGCGGAGGA